rnacentral:lncRNA from 1 species
AUGUAUCUAUCUGAACUAGUUUAUAGGAGGGUUGCUAUACAGAACUGUGUAAAAACAGACCCAAAAAUUGGCACAGAAAGAUAUAUUGAUCAGGAAAAAAUAAUCAAGACCAAUGUUGCAACUAGUCAUCUUGUUUACACACAUGAAAAUAACCUUGUCCUUGACACACAGAUUAACACCGCAAAUGACGCAGAAUGCCAAAGCUUUCCACCUUCAUAUUCUCAAAAGCCAAAUCAUGAAAGCAAACCUGUCAUUACCAGCCACAGACAAGCCUGCAAUUCGCUGCUUCGAUCCCAGCCAUUGUAUACCUUUUUAGUCUGGAAGAGCAGGGAAUUCCUAACCAGUGUUAGUGGUUGUGAUGUGAUCCAAAGUAAACUUGUAACAGCAUUUGGGGACAACAAGAAAUGAAGGCAUGGCACCUACAAACACCUUUUUGAGUUCACUGUCUUUCUUGCCACUUCUGAGAGUCUUAGGUAAGUUCUCAGUUCUGAGCUCUGCUCUCUUUGCAUUGAAUUCCCAGUCUAAUUGGUUUUCCAGUACAGGGCAGGUCAACUUUGAGCUGCCAGAUGGUUCUACCUGGAACCCAAUUGAGCUGUCAAAUGACUCUUCCCAGAGCCAAGCUCCUAGCUUUCAGGUUGUAGUUCCCAGGUUUUUGAGUAGAAAAUCCCCAACCUUUGAUUCUUUCUGAAAAUCCAUGUGGGAACUGUUGGUGGUGGCUCACAGCUCCCCAUCCAUGGAGAGCCCUUCAGUCCUCAGUCCCCAUCUUUCUGAAAAUCCAUGUGGGAACUGUUGGUGGUGGCUCACAGCUCCCCAUCCAUGGAGAGCCCUUCAGUCCUCAGUCCCCAUCUUUCUGAAAAUCCAUGUGGGAACUGUUGGUGGUGGCUCACAGCUCCCCAUCCAUGGAGAGCCCUUCAGUCCUCAGUCCCCAUUUGUUGAGUUCUGCUGGUUCAGUCCUUUCCAUGGGAACUGAUGACUGUACGGGGCCUUCUCUUGGCCAGAAGGCAGUACUCUCUCUUGGUUACUGACAGCAUAUUACAGCGCAUGUCUGUUUGUCUUGUUUUAGGUAGAUAAAAGCUAGUUAAUAGACAUGGAAUCUUUAAUUUCUAAACAGUCAAGUGUGCCACCUUCCAGCACAGCUACUCAUUUUAUGUCUAAGGACUAUAGUCCCAGAAGCUGUUGCUGCUGCUACUGCUGCUAAGUCAACUAUAGUCCCAGAAGCUGCUGCUGCUGCUACUGCUGCUAAGUCGCUUCAGUCGUGUCCAACUCUGUAGAGGUCCACAAAAAUGGCAACAUCUUACUGUGUCCUAAGAGUUUAGCCUGGUAGCCAUGGGGUAAGAGGCCUUGAAAUAUGACCAGAUAAAAGUGUGGUUGCACCUCAUUUGUGGCUAAGAUCCUGCCAAACUCCUGUCAGUUCUCAGGAGAAUUAUAAUGGCCAUUACAAGGAAUAUUCCAUUAGAUAAGAUCAUUGAAAAAGUGCAUUUAAAAGCAAAGUCUUCCAAAUCAAACUGAAUGGGAUACCCAUUUUCUUUUAUUUUUAAUUUAAUUUUUGUUUUGUAUUGGAGUAUAGCUGAUUUACAGUGUUGUGCUAGUUUCAGGGGUACAGCUAAGUGAUUCAAUUAUACAUAUACCUAUAUUCAUUCUUUUUUGGAUUCUUUUCCCAUUAAGGGUUAUUACAGAAUAUUGAGUAUAGUUCCCUGAGGUAUACUGUAGGCCCUUGCUGGUUAUCUAUGUUAUGUAUAGCAGUGUGUAUAUAUUAACCCCAAACUCCAAAUUUAUCCCCCCCCUACCUACUCUGACAUUUCCCCUUUCAUAAGCAUAGGUUUGUUUUUGAAGUCUAUGAGUCUGUUUCUGUUUGUAAAUAAGUUCAUUUGUGUCAUUUUCUAGAUUCCAUAUUUAAGAGAUAUCAUAUGAUGUUUGCUUUUCUCUGUUUGACUUAUUUCACAUAGCAUAAUCUAGGUCUAUCCAUGUUGCUGCAAAUGGUAUUAUUUCAUUCUUUUAUAUGACAGAGUAAUACUCCAUGACAUACAUGUAUCACAUCUUCUUUAUGGGAUGCCUUGAAAAGUCUGCAAGAUUCCGAAAUACCUUCACUGAAAGAUUUGUUAUUCCUAAUGAAAAAUUAACAAUAUAAGAGGUACCUAAGACAAAAGAACUCUAAGACUGAUGUAACUCCCUCCUUCCUCAUUUACUGGACUGUUCUUUCUAGUAAUCCUCUGUUGAAUUGGUUUUCUACCCUAAAAAGACUAUAGGACCAUGAAUAAGAGUCUGCCAAGUCAGUGGCCUUACAGAUGCCCCCAUAGCCCCCUUCCAGAGUUGACAAGACUACAGGAAUUUUUUUUCUCAUAAACUGCCACAUUAUUCCAUUCAACUAAAUUUUUAAUGCCAAGGGGAAACUAAAAUUAAUUUUUUUUAAAAACCUUUCCAUAAUGUGGUAAAUAUCAGAGCUAUUCACUCCAUUUUAAAUCCUAUUCAGAAUCUGCAGAGAGGAUCCUGAUAAAGCUGGAAGAAGCUGGCUAAUGGUGAAAUCCUUACCAGGGUCAGCUCUCCCAAAUCUGUCUAUAGUUCCUGGUGUGUGAGUGAUUGCUCAGUCAAGUCCAACCCUUUGAGGCCCCAUGGAUUAUAGCCCAUUAAGGCUCCUCUGUCCAUGGACUUUUCCAGGCAAGAAUACUAGAAUGUGUAGCCAUUCCCUUAUCUAGGGGAUCUCCCUGACCCAGGGACUGAACCCACAUCUCUUGUGUCUCCUGCAUUGGUGGGUGGAUUCUUUACUACUUGCACCUUCUGAGAAGCCCUACGGUACCUGACAGGGAAAGGAAAAUAAAAUAUCCUUUAUCCCCUCUUUGGGAACACAUCUUGAGUCCAAUGGGUCAUUCAAUACUGCCAUAAAUAUUUACUGUUUGUCCUGGUUAAAAAAUUGCCAGGGUAUUUAAAAUAAUUUUUUAAAAAGUCCCUCUAUGGUCAAAAGUUCGUCAGAGAUUAGAAACCGAUAUUCAGAGUCUGAUAGAAAUUUUUCAUAAGCUCUCUCCUCAUUGAUGAUAAUGUAACUGAAUGGAUAGAUCAACUUAUAAUGUAAUUUAAGUUGCAACCCAGUUCCUUGAAGAAUUAAAAGC